UGGUGUCAAAACCAAGAAAGUGAGAACGACCAUAAGGUGUAUCUCAAAAAGAAAAUGGUGUCAAAACCAAGAAAGGGGAAUGACUAUGAAGAUGUAUCUCUGAAUUGUGGUGUCACAACCAAGAAAGUGAGAAUGACCAUAAGCUGUAUAUAAAAAAUAAAGUGGUGUCCAAACUAAGAAAAGGGAAUGACCAUGAAGGUGCAUCCCUAAAUUUUGGUGUCAUGACCAAAAAAAU
rnacentral:lncRNA from 1 species